GUCAGCUUGGGUUCCAUCUCAAACCCAUCAGAAUAGCCUGGCCAAGGUCAAAAAUUCAAGGGAUAACACAUGCUGGUAAAGCUGUGGCUCGAGGGAACUCGCCACCAUUGCUGGUGGGAGGGCAAAUUUGUACAACCACUUUGGAAAGCAAGUUGUCAGUGUCUCAGAAAACUGGGAAUAGUUCUACCUCAAGACCCAGCUAUACCACUCUGGGAAUAUGUCCAAAAUAUGCCCCACUAUACCACAGGGACACUUGCUUAACAAUUAUAGCAGCUUUACUUACAAUAGCCAGAAACUGGAAACAACCUAGAUAUCCCUCAACUAAAUAACAGGUAAGGAAAGUGUGGUGCAUCUACACGAUGGAGUAUUACUAUUCAACUAUCAAAGACAAAAACAUCAAGAAUUUUAUACGAAAAUGGAUGGAAAUACUGAUACUUGAAAAUAUUAUCCUGAGUGGAGUAAGCCAGACCCAAAAGGACAUGCAUUGUAUGUGCUCACUUAUAAGCAGAUAUUAGCCAUAAAAUACAGGAUAUCCAUGCCAUAAUCCACAGACCAAAAGAAGCUAAGGAAGAGGGAAGGUCCAAGCAUGGAUGCUUGAAUGUAACUUAGAAGCAGAAAUAAAAUAAUUAUAGCAGGCAGAUGGAGGGAGGGAACUGGGUGGGAAAGGAGAGGGGGAGGGGAAUGAGGAGGUAUUGAGAAUCAGGGGUGGGGAGAGACAAGAGGGAAGGCCAGAAGGUUAAGAGAGUGAAUGGAAAUAUGCAGCUCGAAGAGACCUUGGCUGAGACUCAAAACUAUGAGCUAUGCAACCUGAGGAGGCCACUUCCUAUAGGCAGGCAGAAACCACAGUGGAAGGAUAAGGACACCAACCCAUCCAUGAACUUUCAACCCAAAAUGUAUUCUGUCUACAAGAAAUGUAGGGACAAAGAUGGAUCUGAGGCUGAGGAAAUGGCUAAGCAAUAACCAGCCCAACUAGAGACCCAUCCCAUGGCAAAGCACCAAUCCCUGACACUAUCAGUGAUACUCUGUUAUGUUUGUAGACUGGAGCCUAGCAUAACUGUCCUCUGAGAGGCUCCACCCAGCACCUAGCCGAAAAAGAUAGAGACCCACAGCCAAACACUAGACAGAGCUCCAGGACUCUUAUGGAAGACCUAUUCUUGUCCACCCUUCCCCGUCCUGUCCAUACAUAUAUAACAGAUAUAGCUAGGUCUUCAUGUGGGUCCCCCAACAACUGGAGCAGGGGCUGUCCCUAAAGCUGUUAUGUGUCUAUAAAAUCUCUCCCCUGAGUAUGCUUUGUCUGGCCUCAGUAGGAGAGGAUGAACCUAGCCUUGAAGAGACUUGAUGUGUCAGAGUGCAGGGGACCUCCACCCUCUCAGAAGAGAAGGGGAGGAGGUAAUUGGGGGAGGGAUUGUGGAAAGGUGUGGACUGGGAGGGCAAACAGUGAUAGGGAUGUAAAGUGAAUUUAAAAAAACAAAAACAAACACAAGCAAGAACAACAACAACAAAAUCCAUGUUGCCUCCCUACUUAUAAUCCAUCAAUGGCAAAUUCCAUCAACCUAGCUUUCUCUUUCUCACCUUGGCUUGUCCAAUUGAUUCUAAAACACAUGAUAUUCAUUUUUUUCCUCUAAAAGGAAACACAUGACCUCUACACCAUACUUAUCUAUACUGAGCCAACCCACCCACUGGGUUUGAUGCCACAAAACUUUACUCCAACAAUUCAACUCCGUGCACAGUAUGGCUAUCCCUCUGUGAGACAGACACAUUGCUUUAAGCUUUUCAACAACAACAAGAACAACAAAAGACUCUUUGGUCUAUUUCUUACUUUAAGGAACUGCUUUCACUCAUUCUUAUGCUUCAAUGAUAUUGAAUCUAUUAGCUUAUUUAUUCAACCUGCAGUGUCAACACUGUCCGGGAGGUGACCCAAAUCCUUAACGUGAACCAACAGAGCCUUGUGGCCAGCCUCCUCAGAUGCCACUCCCCUAGCACUUAGUGCCUCAGCACACUGGCUUUCUUUGAGCAUCUAAUUAACCACAUUCUCCAACCUUUGCAUAAGCAAUGAGUCUAACCUUAUCCAUUUGGCCUAUUUAAUACAGAACUCUCCUUAAGUAUAAAUUUCUUUAAAUGUCUCCUUAAUCUCCUCUCCUAGCUCAAUAGCCCAUGUGUCUUACCAAUCUCUCUCAGAACAGACAGCACAGAUGUCAAGCUUAUAUUUGUGACUCUAUGAAAAAUAAUGUCAAGUACCAAAUUAAAGUAAGCAAUCAUGAAGAUAAUGGUUCAUAAAUCUCUCUACCUACUCAUUUCAUUCACCGCUGCAUCUUUCUUUUCAUGGCAGUGUCCAUUCCAGGAGUCAAGAGACGUAGGGUAGGCUUGUAACACAAACCCUGAGCCCUCUCCUAUAUACUGUGCUUUGGUAAGUGGGAGAUCCCUUUGGAAAGCAGCCAGGACCUUAAACUAUCAUGGCCAGACCAGACACAAAAAAGAAAAUGAUCGCUAACUCAACCAAUUGCCAGCAUCUGCACUACCACCUUCCCUGCAGGACAUGAAGGAUCUACAAAUUCUGGGUCAUAAUAUGUAGAAUGAUCUUCUGCCAAUAUGGUAUAUGGAGUAAGUCCAAGAAGUUCACAGAUAUUUCUUAGAGCUAUAUACCUAUAUAAUGAUUGUUAGAAACUGUUUGACAUAAAAUAUACUGCAUGAUAUAAUUACAUUGUAAGUAGAGCUUAAAAAAAGAAAUUGAUUUAAAGGAAACAAUCAUAAUGAAGGUAAUACAUGCAUAUAGAAACAUGAGCUGUAAAAAUGACAUACAAGGAACAUAUCUGAGCUAAUGUCUCACAUGCCCCAAGCUGGUGCUAUAUUCAAGCUGGCUAAAAGGACGGUCCACUUGUAUCCAAUCCAUCAGCCAGGCCUGUAAGUAAUAAGUUAAAAGCAUUCCUAGAACCCAGAUCCCUUUGGUGUGCUUAGAGCUAAUACCAGGAGUCGAGCCUGUCCAGUCAUUUUCCAAGACUGCUACAAACAUCUCCUACCUGCUUCUCCUUUUGUUCCCUAGGUCGAUUCUUCACAGACCUCCAGAGCCAUCCUUUUAAAUGACAGCAGCAUAGACAAUCCACAUUAUCUCACCACAAUGCUCUAGGGGCUUUGCCAAUGCUAAGAACAGUCUUAACUUGUGGUGAGCACAUGAGUCUAGCCCGAGCCUACCUGGCUCCUCUCCUCCAGGCCUCCUCCCAUCUGUCCCAUGGUCCUUUUGAGUAUCCCUAGUACUUCAUUCAUUCCCUUCCUUAGGGUGUUUGUGUGUGACUGGCCCUUUGGUAGACAGACAAUACUUACCUAUCAACUUCUCACACGCAUCCUGCUCUCUUUCUCUGAGGUCCCUGCUCAAAAGUCACUUCUUUGGAGGCUCUAGCCAUCUGACCUAAGUGCCUUUCCCUGAGUCUCCGGCUCCUUCACAUUUCUUGAUGGGAUUUGCCUCUACCUGAAAGUGUACCCUGGUCUACUGGUUUAUUGUCAAUCUCGUUAGAGUACAGCCUUCAUAUUCACACUGUAUACAAAUACAUGUGGUAGUCUAUUUGAUGUGCACACUUUGUAGUUUUUUAUACAUCAGUUAAAUUUUUUCAAUUAAAAAUCAUGACAGCUUUACGAGGGCAGGGGAUCAAUUGGCCAACGCAUGGCUUUAUUUUCAUGAAUGUUUCCUGAAUGAGGAAACAAUUAAACUCAUAUAUUUCCAGCCGAAAGACCAAGAACUAACAGUUAAAAUGUUCUCGACACUCCAAAGACCCUUUAGGAGUACAUGGCUGACUUAACACAACAGAACCUGUGCACGUGAAACUGUCAGGUACACCUGCACAGGGUGUCCGCCAUCAAGGCCAGGCCUCUAGGCAGCACCUGACAAUCCAAACUCCCCUCCCCUAUCUGACAAACAUAGCCAUUACCCUGCUUUCCACAGAUUCUAGGGACAAACAGAAAAACUGAGCUGGAAGAGAGACACAGUAAUGAAAGGAACAUAAAUAGAAGGAAAAGAGAAUCACUGCUUGCCUGUAAUAAAUCUCUCAGCUCUACCUAAAUCAAGGAGGCCCUAGGAUAGCUGUAAAAAGAGGCCCAUCUCAACGGGAGUCAGGAGGCCCAUGUGGACCAUGUCAGCUGCUGUAGAACACAGCUAAGGGCUGCACAUCAGUCAUGGGAAAGGGUGUUUCUCAGGACAGGGAUGCUGGAAGAACAAGCUCUCAGUCAAAGCUCCAGCAUCAUCAGCGCCAUUAUCUCCUGCCAGCAGAUCAGGCAUCCUGAGAAUACCUUAGUCCACUGGCCUCAAAUCCUUUUACUAAGGUGCUUUGCACUGACUUCUGACCCAAUAAAAAAAUCCAUGAAGACAGAAGUAUUUCAAACUUUCAGAGCCAAAUGCCUCAGCCUGACUAUCAAGACCCUUUCUCCUUCCUUUCAUUUUCAAACCUACCUGCUACCUCCAAACGCCCCAGGAAAUUUGCCCUUUUUUUUGUCACAAUAAAUUCUGAGAAAGCAAAGGUGAAGAAAGAGAUGGCAUUCAGACCCCAAACCCACUGCGAUGGACAGACUUCAUCUAUCUACCUUUCUCAUGUUUAAGAUGAAGAUUUAGGAAAACCCAAUGAGGCAAUGCCUGGGAAGACAGUAAGGGACUUGAGAGGUGGCCAAUAAUCUUAGGAUAAUAAGGAUGCCACAGAUAAUAGGAACAGCAAACAGUGAUGGUUAAUGACAGUGUCUACCACUAGCGACCACUAGCAAAGGAUUUCUCUCCCAAUUUUAUUUAAUUCACCUGGAAAGUCAAGAUGUAUGUACUAAAGCCAGUUCCUCAUACAAAUAACAGGCCUGGAGUUUCCCAAGGUCAGACAUCAUUACAGCAAUAGCACUGCAUUAUAAUCUAUGCAGUACUUCAGACUUAAAUAUCCUAUCCUACCCCACAGUCUCUGCUAGCCCUUACACACACACACACACAACACACACAUCACACACAUCACACAUACACACCACACACACACCACACACACACCACACACCACACCCCACACACACACUCCCACACACAUAUACCCUACACUAUACCACAACACAAACACACACACACAACCCACAUCAUACCACACCAUACCACACAUACACACAUACACACCACACCAUACCACACCACCACACACACACCAUAUCACACCCACACACACACCCCAUACCAUACCAUACAACACACACACAACACACACAUCACACAUACACACAUCACACAUACACACCACACACACACACCACACACCACACCCCCACACACACACUCCCACACACAUAUACCCUACACUAUACCACAACACAAACAAACACACACACACACACACACACACACACACACACGGUAAGAAGUACAAUCUGAAAUCUUUGUUCAGUUUACUGAGUGACCAUACUUGAAGAAAUUACUUGAGUGACCUUGAAUAUGCACCUAGAUAGAAGCCUCAGACAUCUGUAAUGAGAUCAAUAAUACCAGCUCCCUUAUAUGUUCUUAUCAAGUGACAUAGUAUGUGUCAAACACUUAGCACACUGUACUAUGUGCAGUAUGAACUCAAUAGACAUUAGGUAUAAUAAUUAAAAGCCUGGACAAUCUUUCAACCUCUGUCUCAGCUGCCACUUAACUAAGGGGUUAGAGAAGUACCCAGAGCCCAGUACAGUAUAUACUGCCUUGAAGCCCAAGGUGUGCUGUCAGGAGGUAGUUCUUACCAGUCUGUCAGCACAGAGCCCACAUCACGAGGGAAAGGCAAACAUUAGGUCAUGGCAAAAUUACAUGCAGUCUAAAGCUCAGAAUGGAUUUCUGAAAUGUCUCCCAGGAUAAGCAAAAAGGCUUCUGACUGCCCGGGCAAGCUCAAGGGACCCCAUUGCCAAUACUGGCCCUUGGACAAUGGUCUCAGCACACACAACAGCUGGGAACUGGAAGCAUCUGAGGCUAUCUCCCCCUCUCUCCAGACUCUGCCUGUAGCUAAGGCACACCAGAAUUGAGACCUCACUGCUUCACUAACUAUAAUUCUAGCUCGGCGCAGCCACAGCAACCAUGUUGCAGGCAGGAUUCCUAGCAAAAGGCAAAGUGCAAAAAGCCAGUGCCUGCGCUGCCUCUUGUCUGACUCUAACUGAGCUUCAGAAGACAAAAGGGAUUGCCACAGAAACCGGCCUGGGUCAGCAGGGUGAAGAAAGGCCCAGAGGGCACAGGGGAGCAGGGAGCAUGGAGAAGCAUCUGCCGUGGGCCAUCCCUGGCAUGCUGGAUGGAAAGCUGGAGAGAGGGUACACUCAGCUGACGGCCUCGUGGACCUGCGCACAGGAGGCCAGGCACUGUGCCCAUUAAUGCUUCCACUCUUCUCAGGUUUAAAGGGGGAAAUGUUCUAUUUAUAAGCUACCCAACAGGGGAGACCUGGCAGCUUUUGGAUGGCUCUGAUCCCAAAGGGAUCCUUGUUACCAAUGGCUGCCUCUUCCUGCCUCUCUACUGUGGGUGUUCUAACAGCAAAGGGCCAAAGGUGAGGGGAAGCAAGGGCGAGAGGGAAUCCCCUUUUCCUGCCCUUUACUGUUUUCAUGAGAAUGGGGACCUUUGAUAAUGAAGGCUGACUGCUUUAGAACCCUCUUAAAAAUACUGGCCAUGCUAACCCACUGAGGCUUCUGCAGUGAUCUUCAAGGAUGAAUCACUCUUCUGCCUGGCAGAUCAAGGGAAGCUAAGGCACAGAGAUGAAGAGAAUUGAGAAUCAAAGAGACAAAAGUAGGCAAGCACAGAGCAAUGGUAAUGUAUCCCGUCUCCUCUCCUGGUCUUCAGUCUUGCCUCAUAAAUCAAUACCAGCCUUAAUAAAGCACCGCUGAGCACUCUGAUUGGAGUGACAGCCUCAAGAAUGAGAAUGUAAACAACAGAGACAACAGGGAGUAGCUCUGCUUGCUCUGGAAUCUUUGUGGGAUGCAGGGUACCAUGGUAAAGACCCAACCGUGAGACUUUAGAGCCAUCAAAGCAUGUGACCCUGGCUCAUGCAGCACUGAGCACAGGUAUUUGAGGAAUGAUUGAUUAUAAUGGUUCUAAUAUGGAGAUUAAUGUGUUGUGUCCACAUAGUGGCCAAAAAUAUCUGACAGAUUAGAGUGGUAGUUCUCAAACUCCCCUAUGCUGUGACCCUUUAGUACAGUUCCUCACGUUAUGGUGAACCCCAACCAUAAUGUUUUGUAUUGCUCUUCCAUAACUGUAAUUUUGCAACUGUUAUGAAUCACAAUGUAAAUAUCUGUGUUUUCAAUGGUCGUAGGCAACCCCUGUAAAAUGGUCAUUUGACCCCCAAGGGGGUCGUGACCCACAAGUUGAGGACCACCAGGUUAGAUGCUAAAAAUUGCUGACAGAAUUCCUUCUAGUCUCCCAUGUCUGGCUGCAUAUGGCUUCAUAAAGAAACAGAGCAAAGAACCAACACACGUCAAGAGCAGCAGGAGCCGAGGACCUUAGCCACUGGCGUUCCUGCUUCUCGACUACGUCUCUUGAACUCCAUUUGCUCAGUUAGAACCUAAAAGCGCAGAACUCCACUUCUGUAAGGGACGGCCAUCCACACGUCAUUUACCACUCCCCCGCCGAAACCCCAUGCCAUUCUAAAUAGACUCGUUUUCAAAAGUUCACUAUGUGUUAAGUGAAGAGGUAACCAACCACACUCCAUGGGUAAGUCACCAUUGCCUGCUCUGCGAAUAAAGCUUUCCCGGCCAGCACUGCUCCACUCACCCCCAUAGCACUGUGGCUUCUUUCACGGUAGUCCGACAGAGCCACUCGACACUUCCACACACUCAGAGUGUUUUCUGUCUGCCCUCCCCUGAGGAGCAAGGUCUCUGGUAAAUGACAGCAUUUACAAAACCAUCACAUUUAUUGUGCUCCUGCCUCCCUUUCAUACCACACCAAAUAAGUGUUUAGAACACUUUGCUAUAUUUCCUCAAUAUUCCCCUGCAACUUCAUAUUAUUUAAUAACCAGAAAGAAUAUUAUGUGUUUAAACCUGCUUCAGAGUAAAAUUUGGAGACUCAACGUCCACAUCCUACAAACGAAAGACCACAACUCUAGCUCCAUACAGAACAUUCGCAGUCAAAUUGUUGCUAUUCUCCCCGCCUCACUGUGAAUAAGAAAAACUGAGAAAGGGCAGUGGGUUCUUCCACACAAUUCAAAUACGAGAGAUUCUCCUAGGGGUACUAGAUAAAAAACCAACGGCAAGGAAGGAGUGAUGAAGAUUUUGAGCACAGAGCAUCUACUGCUUGCCCGUCUUCUGUUUUCCUUGCUGUUCUGCUGAUUGUACUGGCAGCCCUGCACAGCUUCACGAGCCCUCUACUAAUGAGCCACAGCCCUGCUGGGAAGUUUGCAUUUUCUAAAUCUGUUCUGUCUAAAUGUAAUCCCAUCUGAUGCUAGUUUUCAAAUCCAUCAGUUUGGGGCAUUUUAUACAAAGGGCACACUUGUUGAUGACAUGCACAUUAUACAUGCCCCUCCCCCCACCAGAGCUGGGCCAUCUGUCUAUUGCUCCUGGUGCUCCCAGCCCCUGCUGCACGUCUGCACAUCAUAACAAUGCUUAAAUGUACAGCUAUCUAUUCAAGCUGGAGACACUCUCCCCCGUUAGGGCUCACGGUUCCCAGUAACAUCUGCCCUUAUGUACUCAGAUGAGUAUUUGCGAGAUACGGACCUUCAGGAAGCCUGAACUCCUAAAGUUUCCCCAAGUAAGAAGUUGAAAUAGAAGUGAAAAGGACUUGUGAAACAAGAGGGGGGAGCAGAGUAAACUGCUGUCAUGACGUUCUGAUAAGCCAGAUGCUCAGCAUUGGGCUGUGCUCUGAUGAUGUCCAUGAGGAGGAAGCCUGCAGCAAUGAGGACUCGGGAUACUGAAUACAACCUGAUUAGCCUAUUGACUUGGGUGGAGUCUCACACAGAGGGAGGCGGUACUAUGAACAACCGGAAUCUGGGCCAUUCUGCCCCAACUCUUCAGCUUUAUGUGGCUGGAGAAACAGAGGGGACCUGCAAUUCUAUGUUGUUGUUGUUGUUGUUGUUGUUGUUGUUGUUGUUGUUGUUGUUGUUGUUGUUUGAUUUGGGGGGGUUAGCUAAGCUUUAAGGAAGUAUACGGGUAGUGAUGUUUAUUUAAAAUUUAUAUAUCCUACGAGAUUUAGAGUCUCUCACUGGGUUGACUUGGCUUCUCCGAUAUGUGCAGGUACUUUAUAACUGCUCCUCAGCUGGCAAAGCAGCCUAGGCUGAGAACAAGCCUUCCUAGUUUCUCCUCUUCCUUCUAACCUGAGCUGAUUUCAAUUCUUGGAAUCUUUGGAGAAUAAAUCUCACAACUGUAGCCAAAAGGUCAGGUGUAGAACAAGACUAACCAAGCACCAAGGUGGCAGAGGAGCCAGAAAGAGUGGCAAGGAGAACAGACCUGGCCUAGUGCAGAGCCUGGCCUGUUGUGACAGUGCAGAGGGGAUCCAGAGACUGAAUGGCUUCCCCGACACUGAGGAACUCGGGGAGCCAGGAAAUCAACUUCUUCACCAGCUGUAAUCCCACUCUCCCCCUUCCUUUCUAUUCAGUCAGAACUGACCACCUGAAGAGCUCUGCGCUUCUAACAUUCUGCGAACAACCAAAGGAAAGCUCUCUGCUCACAAAGCUACUGAUAUGUAAUGAGCAACAAAACGAGAAAGUUGCCUUAUGUCUUUAAUAUUUCAAGAAAACUUCAACCAAGAACACACAAGACCUCUAGGCAGAGAACUCAAACCAAAAUAAAAGGAUGCAUGUGUGAAAAAAUAGAACGGUAUUCCAAGUUCUUGGAGAAGAGGAUGAGAUGACAGAUAAAAGUGUUGAUUUUCCUCAAAAUCAAUCUAUUUAAUUAACAUGAUCCUAACUGCAAAUGAAGGUUUCAUGUUUAAGGAACUUACUAAAUCUAUUCUCAAAGAAUAAAUAUCUACAAGUAGCAAUGUCAACCUCUAAAAUGACAUUAAAAGGAGGGAUGGAGGAGUGGGUGGAUAAAGGGACAGAAGGAUGGAAAUGGACAGAGGAAGAAAAGAGGGGAGAGUGGAAGGCAAUGGGAUUUGGGUGCACACCAUCAGGACUUGGGUUACAAAGGCCUUCUUCAAAGAAUCAGGAACCAGAAGGGAAAUCGGAGACAAAAGUUAAAGGUGCUAUGACUGUAUAAAGAACACAGCUCUCUAGCAGGCACAAGGUCCUAGGUUCAAUCACAGCAUCAAGGAAUGACAGCACAAACAACAUCAAUAGAUAACAAGAUGGGAAAGUGUGUAUUAAAUGUCCAAAUCUAGGCUGUGUAUUUACGUCAGCCUAGCAUGUGCAAGGCUCUGGUUCAAUUCCUAUCACCACAAUAAUAAGACAAAAUGUCUAAAAUUAAUGAAGAUUAAUAUCUAAAUAAAAAUAAUUUUGCAAGUACAUGAGGGGAAAGAUGGCAACAGUCACUGAAAAAAGGACAAAGGCCAUGAACAAGCCAUUAAGAGACGAGGAUGCCCAGGGGACUGGUAGGCAAUAUGAGCAGACACUCAAAACUCUUUGCUUACCAGAGAGAGGUACAUGUUACCACAUAAAUAUAUUACACCAGGAAGAAAUCACAAGGCUGAGUUGGCAGGAAUGGGGAAAUGUGCAUGCAAGGCUAAUGGAACUUCAGACAGACCACCGUAGAGAGCAACGUGAGGUUACUUAACUAAGCCGAUCGUGGACCAGCACUUGGACCCGAGAGUGUAACCCCAGGACAGCAUCACCAAGGUCACAUCAUAGAGAUAUUCUGUGGUCAUGAGAACUUCAGAGAUGAACACAGCUGAGGAGAUAAAAACACAUCUCUUUAAAACGAGAUGCAAUACCUUAGACUGGGUGGGUGGUAGUCAGGGCCACCAUCUAGAUCACAAGGAAUGACGUGGAUGGCUCCCGACACAUGCUGAAGGGACAGAGACAGAUCAGAGCAAGACAUAGAGCCAUUUGUGUACUUUAAGAAUAUGGCUAGAUGGAGGAUGCACUUUGACGAGGAAUGCACUCUAAAGGUGCAGACUAGAACAGUGGCAGGGGUGAGCUUGACACUGGGGGGGCAGGAGCCAGAAGAGAACAUAUGAGUACAUAAAAUGGAAGAUUCGCGAUGAUGAGGUAUGGGAAGGAAGACGUGGGCUCUCUACCCCAGGCCUACACAGAACACACAGAAGAUAAAACAAGAAGAGCUGCAAAGAAGUGCGCCUGCUUGUCUGUAGCUGUCUUCUCUGUGGCGAGUGAGCAAUAUGAAAAUACAGCAGCCAACAGACGCCAUUUACGAGUUGGUUUAAUGCCCACGGGCACUGAAUGCCCUGAGAGAAACUUCACAGUCAAAGUUACAAAUUCUGACAAGUUCACAGAAGAAUUCCCACCAGCUAUCUGCCCCCUUCAGAACAUGCACCGGUGCUAUGACAAGAACUGUGCCUUUGAACUCCCACCAAAACGUUUGAGAAAACAAAAUACCUACAUAGUUUUUAUUUGCAUGCUAACAUUCGGAAUUUGGUCAGAAAAGCAAUAGUCAAUCCUUAAAUUCCUAUCAGAUUGACUUCUUACCUUUAAGAGAGCUUAAACUGGGGCAUUAGAAAAAAAUGGUAGAAAGGCCAAGAUCCUAAGCAAUAGUAAGUGCGUGUGUGGCAGAUUCGUCCAGUAACAAUGCAGAGAGACAAUGAUGUCAAGGUGUGGGCUGGAGCCAAGUGGAAGAAUAUCUGCCCUGCAUGCCCAAGGCCCUGGGUUCAAUUCCUAAAUAGGAGGGAGGUAAGAAACUGCACGACAUGGCAGAGGGUAUUAACACCAAGAAAGGAAGGCAACACCAACCAGAUCACUAAUCCAUUGCCAGCCUGGAAGUCAGUGAUAGUAAAACAAAAUGAAGCAGUCUUGAAAGGGUGGCUACUAUUUUUGAUUCCAUCACUAUCUCUCCCUCUUCCCACAUAAAGUAGAUUCCACAAGUGAUACAAGCGAAUCUCCUCGGUCUCUGAGUAACAAGAGGCAGAUGCUGCAGCAGAGUCUACAUUCUUUGAAGACUCUGAACCGUCCUGUGUUCAAGAAAAGUAAAAUAAACUUGCCUUGUGUUCAGGAAUGCAACCACUGGGGUUGAGUAAGAUUUAGACUAACUUGUAUCCUGGGAGCUUAUUAGCCUCAAUUUCUUCAUCUACAAGUCAAGCCAAAGGUUCCCGACAAGUCUAAGAGACCUCUAGUCUAAUAAACCUGACACACAUUAAAUGGUUACUAACGGCUAUGGCUGUAAAAUACUUUAACAGUAGACAAUGUAGCUUACAUGGAAACACACUAGGAACUGAACAACCCCAGUAAACAGCUCUCCAUCCUAAUUCAGUAUUCAAUGAUCAACAUAGCUUAAGACACGUUCCUAUCAAACACCUAGCUCGAUCUCAUGACGUCUCCCUUUAUUUUGUUUCCCUGCCCUUAUUUUAAAAAUUCAAUGAUCUAGUACAGGCACCAAACACAUUCCUUAUUGCAUUUUGUCUUCUCUUCACAUAUUUGUGAGUGUAUAGCAUGUUUGCGUGUGUGUGGGAGUGUGUGUGCAUAAGAAGCCCAAGGUUGUUGCUGGGAAUAGUCCUGGUUCAUUCUUCUACCUUAUCCUUUGAAGCAGGAUCUAGUAAUCAAAUCCAGAGUUUUCCAACUAACCUAGUUUCACUAGGCAGCUUACUCAGAGAUCCUUUGUUUCUGCCUUGAGGGCUGGGAUAACACCUGGCUGCCAUGCCCACCAACAUUGUCUGUGGGCUCCGCAGAUCUGAACCCUGGUCCUCUUGCUUUGUACAAGUGCCUUGACUGCUGAUCCAGUGCCACAGCCCUCCUGUGUCUGUUCCUCCCCUGUUGCUGUGACAAAAUACUCUGAGAUAAAAGCAACUUAAUAAACUAAAUUUAGGGCUGAGAGAGAGCCCAGAGGUUAGGAGUGCUGGCCGCUCUUCCAGAGGUCCUGAGUUCAAUUCCCAGCAACCACAUAGUGGCUUAUAACCUUCCAUAAUGAAAUCUGGUGCCCUUUUCUGGCACUCAGGCUUGCAUGCAGGCAGAACCAUGUAUACAUAAUAAUAUAUAAUACAUAAUAAAUAAACCUUUAAAAGACACCUUUUUUGGCACAUAAGUUUGGGUUAUAGUCUAGCACUGUGGGAAAGUCAAGAUAUCAUAAACUUGAAGUAGUCAUAUUACAUUCCCAAUCAAGGGCAGAGGGCAAGGAAUGAAUGAAUUCAUGGCACUCUGUUCCUUUGUUCCUUUUCGUUCAUUCCAGGCCUUGCCCACAAAACAGUGUUGCCGCCUUUCACAGGGGAUCUCCCCAACCUCAACUAAUCCAAUUGAACUCUCUCACAGGCUAGGGACCUACACAUUUCUUUACAGAGGCUCCCUCCCUAGGCGAGUCCACGGAUCCUAUGGAAACCUGCCACUUGCUUCCUUGUUCCUAUUAAAGGCUACACACUACUCUGAAAUGUGCUCCAUUUAAUAGGCUCCUUAAUGCUCUCUUACAUCACUGAGUCAAAGGCUAGACACUUCCAGAAAACUUCCAAGCAAACUCCAAAACAGUUGUGGACCAAUUAGCAGGACGGAUUAGCAUACCGGCCAAUAGAGUCACCUCAAGUGGUAUGUUUCAGUCUCUUGACACACAGAGAAAGAAGCAGGGUCAUAAGUCAGCAGGCACAGGUGAGCAUGCAGCAGAGAACUCCAUAUGUACUCAUCUCCUCAGUUCCUGGGGUCUCUUGGAGUCUAAGAAACACCAUGUCCCUGCCUGAGGUGUGGGAAGAUGGUCUUUCAGCCUGCUGGGUAUCCAUACUUCCUAUCCUGGUGGCCUUCCUAAGCUUUCCAGCGUCCAUUUCAUUCAAUACUCUAGAAACUGUCUAUCAUGGUAUACUGCUUUCCUUGGGGGCAUAUGCUACACUCGUUGGAUGGUAUCUUUCCUAGGAAUCUGACCUUUCGCUUCGGUUCCUGCAUCUCCAGAGCCGGUCCGUCUGCCAGUCUGUGCCUUCAUUUUCUCCACCACCAAGGCAUACUACAGCCUCCCAUGCUUCUUCACCGUUAAACAAUGAGUUUUGCUCCCUAUCCCUUAGUGAAAGUCAACCUCAGACACUUUACACAAUCUACUUAUUGGGGUCGGGGGAGAGCUACUUCUUUGUUUCCUUGAAUAUUUAUUUAAAAUGUUUUCCUUAAUCAAAUUUUGAAGAGAAAACAAACCAAACGAGGUUUUUCUCCCAUAACAAAGAGUACAAUCUUGUCGGUUGUAGUCAUUACAAAUCACUUAGUAUUCUAUCUGUACCUUCUGGCAAUGGCUGAAAAUAUAGCCCGGUUGCUAUGUUGCUUGUUUUUCAUCCGUGAGGUACUGGGUUCAAGUCCCAGCACUGCAUAAGCUGGGUGUCACAGUUACAGUUAUCUCAGCACUCAGCAGGGAGGCAGGAGGUUCAGAAGCUCACCCCUGGCUGGAAUUUGAGGCCGGCCUGGGCUAAGGACUCUUUGUUUAUUUUUUGUUGUUGUUUUCAUCUUCUGCAAAGUAUUUCAGAAAGAAACAUCUGUUUCAUAAUGGCUAGUGGCUUUCACAAAAGAAGAGGAGGAGUGGGGGAGGAGGAGGAAGAAAAGGAAGAGGAAGAGAAGGAAGAGGAUGAAGUGGAGGAGGAAGAGGAAGAGGAAGGACAGCAGCAGCAACAGCAACAACAACGAACAUUGAAAAGGCUCACACUUCUGUCUGCAGAGCCGGGCUGCUCUGCUCCCCUGAUCCCCUGACACUACUGUAGUUCAGGGCAGGGAUUUUCUAGAGUAAUGCUGAGGCUGGAGGUGGGAGUUUCCCUUGUGUCCUUGUUGCACUGGGACAGAGUUUGGUCUGUCUUAGGCACCAAGGAGGUUGAGGUUGCAGUGUCUGCCUGCCGAGCAGGCAUUUCCCUCUAAUCCCUUGCCUUGCAGUCACAGUACCCUCCAAGGUGCUGAAGCACAGUGCUGGCCAAUGGUUGGAAAGUGCCCUAUUUUACACAGGUUGCCACUCACUCCCUUCAAAGAACAGCAUCUCCUCCCCUCUCUGCUCUUUCCUCACAAAGAGCCACAAAGGAGAAUUAGCAAACCAUCGUCCUGUCCACCUUGGCUACUGACACUGCAGGGCUGGAAGACUGUGCUAGAGGCUUUGGCUCAUCGGUUGCCAUUUAUUAAGUCAUUUAUAAGUGGUUAUGGAACUACCAUCUCAAUAAAGCCUGGGACUACCACAUGAGAUAAUGCUUAUGACAGCAACACAGAAAGCAUGGAGGGCUGUUUAAUGCAAAGGUCACUACACUCUUGCUAAUCUUGCUCUGGAAUAACCCUCUGAAGUGUGGCUGACCCAACAUGCCCAUGGCACCUCCUGGUGGCCCAGCCCUGAUGUGGCAUCUUCUCAGGGCUCCCCUAGUACCCCCCUGCCCCGACUGUAGACAAUUAGCCAAGCAAAUAUACUUACUCCCUUCACUCUGGCUGUCUUUGUUCGAGUUGUAGACCUGAAAAAUAGAAAUAGAAAUUUACUUUGUGUGCAUUUUAUACCAGCCUACAGACUCACUGCAGAAGACGUGAAGAUGGAAGGCGAUCCCUGCUCCCUGCCCCCAGUUAGGAACGCUCUCAGCAAUGACUUGACCCCAGCAUGCACUUAGCUGCUCACAAAUAGCAUGGGACAGAACCCCCUGUGGAACUGUACAGUGUGUGGGUAGUGUGGCGAUAGUGGGCUAUCUCAACAUUUUUAAAUGCCAAAUAAACUGGUUUGUAUAUAUACACUAGAGGAAGUCAAAUGAAAGUUAGUUACAGAUCGUUAAGCAUUAACUGCACACAAGACAAUGUCCUCGGCAUUUCACAGAAAUGAUCUCCAUCUACACCACAGCCAUGCUUGGCAAGAGCACUUGCUACCACUGCUGUACAGCUGGAAAAUGUGAGGCUCGCAAAGUUGAAAUGGGGUUUCACAGCUGGUUAAUGGCAAAGUGUAGACGAAGGAACAUUAUAAACUGUUGAGUGCUGACCCUGGGGGUGAGACCAGUCUCUCUGUAUGUAGAUUAGAAUUUUAUAGUGAGAAGCUAUCCCAUUUACAACAAAACUUCUUAAACAGUUGAUAGAAAUCAUCUGAGAGACAGUGGUCAGAUGGUAAGAAAGGAAGUUUCUCACUAGAGAAGAGACAGCGGUAUACUACAAAAGCCAGAAAGAUGUUCCGUAAAGGUCAAGAUUGUAAACAGUAAGUAGUAAAAAGUGCCAAGAGGCACUAAAUAUCAGGAGAGAAAGCAAGUUCUUACAAAACUAAACAUGCAAACUUUUUGUAAAAACUGUCUAAUGGGGUUGGGGAUUUAGCUCAGUGAUUAGAGCGCUUGCCUAGCAAGCGCAAGGCCCUGGGUUCGGUCCUCAGCUCCGAAAAAAAAGAAAAAAAAAACUGUCUAAUUAGCAAAACCAACAUUUUUUGCCUCUGCUGCAAACAGAGGCUGGCAUUCCACUUCUCUGGGAUCCAAUGACAGGUCUCUAUCACUUGUCAGUUGCAAAAAUUAUUCUUCAAAUAUCACAUGCGGUCCAUGGACUGCAUAAAAGCAAAGGGUGGGCUGGUCUUGGCUGCCGGCCACAGACCGCCUAUUCCUGAAGUGCCAUUGCUAUUUAUGACAAGUAGGGUGAAACCUCUACUUAAGAAAACAAUCCCAGUGCCAAAUCUGCCUGUGUAGGUAUGGAAAGGCCUGGGAGGAAGCCGGCAUCCUGACUUAAAUAUCUACCUAUCUAUUCAACCAUCCCUGGAGUGCUGACAGUCACUCUCAGCUGAGAAACACUUGUUUAGCCCCUAAGAAGACUAAACAAAGCAUUUCUGAAAAUUUAGCACUAACCCCCAACCCCAAGAUAAAUUUUCCACCAAGAAAUUUAGAGGGUUGGCUGGUCAAGAACAGGGCAAUGGGCUCAAAUGGGCCACAACGCUGGCCUUACCUUCUCUGAACAUUCAUGCCUCUGUCUAGGAGUUGUCCGAGAAUGUCAAACCCCAAAUCCAAGAGAUCAUCCUUCUUGAUUAUAUAUCACAUAUAUUAUUAUAUUUAUUCCCUAUAGAAGACUAAAACAACGUGCUACAAGGCCACUUAAAGAUCAGAGGACAAGCAUAGGAAGAACUUUAGAGCUUCAAAAGGAUGCUCUAACACCUCAGUCUCCACCAGUGCACACCAAGUCCGAGAGACAGGGCAUCACAAGAAUGGCUUUGGCCUGGACUUUGCCACUUUUGCCUGGAUCCUAUUAGUUUAUCUCAGAGAUGGGGGUGGUAAUAGUUGCUUUUAUGCCCCCCCCCUGCCUACCAUGAACAUCCAGUGAGAUUAUGUCCGGAGGAGUAGACUGUGACAGCUCAAGACAAAUGAGGGUGCUUUAGCCUGUAUUUCUGUCAAAAAGAAUGGCUCAUCCUUCACAGACUCUGGGGAAGACAAAAUCCCUCAAAGUCUAGGUGAAGGCCACCAUGAGGGCCACCACAGAGAUUGUGCUAGUUCCCAUCUGAAACAAAGCUGCAGGUGGCUCUCUGAGCAGCGUCCAUUACUGGGAUAAAUGAAGUAUCUGGACUGGAUCAGCUUUUGCUAAUGAAUCUCCAUGGCUCGGCACAAAGGUGCCAGAGGGACUUGGAGAGCAGCAGGGACUCUAGGUAGCCGAAUGCCAUGUCCUUUGGCUUUGAUGAGUUUGAUUCAAGUGGUUAUCAAAUAAGGAAUACUGGUUUUGAAACUUUUCCAGUCCUCUGUAACUCUUUUGCUUGUGUUAAUAAAUAUUUAUCGAGUUCCUGCAACAGCCAGGCAAUGAUUUCGGUGCUGCAGAUAAAGAUGGGCAGCAUCUAGGAGCUCUCCUCACAUGGAACUUUCCUACCAGUGAAGAAAACAAAUUUGCAAAUAUGAUUCUUUCAAAUAUUGACAAGUACAAUGGAGAUUGUGGGUCUGGUAUGGGGGAUGAUCUCCUGGAGAGAAAAUAUCUCCAUGAGUUUAGGUGAUAAAACAGAAAGAUCUAAGUACUCAUGUCCAGCUAGUCCUGCCUUACAGAGGAGGAACCACUGCAAGCCAUGCAACCACGAGGACUAAGGGCAAGGCUGUGAAGUACAACCAGGUCUUACCAGGGCCUUGCUCAGGGAGUGAAAUGGCUAGCCAGGUAUUAUCCAGAACCAGCGACCCAUCCCAUCUACACUCAAUAACCUUGGAAAGCCGAGUAAGGGCAACAUGGGAGGAGACAGCAUUUUGGCAAAUUUGUUUGCUUUUCCUUCCAGCCUGCCUUGAUCACUGCAUUUCUCCAAUUCGAUCCAAAAAGUCUAUCCAAGAGAAACUUGUUCAAAUUGUAAAGGUAAAAUCCAAAAUGAAUAGUGAAACUCAGGACUUUCAGCUCUCCUUAAUUAAGCGGCAAAAGCAUGCCAAAUUACUUUCCUUUCAGGUCUCUGGAGUCUCAGGAGACCCCUGCCUGGAACCCCCAAGCAUGCUGAGCUGGAGAGGUGUGAUCAAUGAGCCAGAGACACUAGCAGAAGCAUGUGUGCCCCAUCCUCCAAGGCCACGCCAUUAAUCUCUGUCUAGGUGAACGAGCCAAAUACAGUGGGUUUUGAAAUCAGGCUAACACCCGUCCUGCCAGAACUAUGUGAUUACUCGACCCAACAAGGUAGACCACGGCAGGCGGCAGCCUCACGAUAGCUAACGACUUGGAACAGCACUAUAGAAUGGCUUUGCAUCCCAAGGUCUCCAUCGUGACAGCAUCCAAUGCUUGAAAGGCCAAGCUUUAGUGUCGCUGUCAUUGUACAUGUAUGAGACCUGAUGAUAACGAUGAUUAGGAUGACGAUGACCGUGACAACAAAGUUAAAGUGAUAUCAAGGGCAUCCAGAACACGUGACUCAUAAGAACAGUGAUUUACUGCUGAGUCAGAGAAAGAUGAAACUGGGAAUGCUCUUGAGACUCCGGCCUGAUAUAACCACUGCCUGCCCAUGCAUCCCACUGGCUGCUAACGCAGAAAUGACACUGCAUGUCCUCUCAGAAACAGAGAGCUCCGUCUGUGAUAAUCACCAUGCCGGCAAGGCAGGACUUUCUCACAGACACACGGCCCUGCAGGUGCCCCUCUCCUUACCCAGAAACUACAAUGGGGGAACAAUUUAAUAAAUCACAAGAUGCAGAAAGUGUUCAUGUGCUUUCUCUGCCACAAAUGUGAUUUGGCAAUUGAUUUUCUAAGCUGCUGAGCCGACUCAGUCCACGUGUCCUAGAGAACUUUUACAAAAUGCAUGCACUCAUUUGGAUUCUCAGAAUCUGUGAGUAACCUUUUGGUACCAUUAUCUAAGCCAUAUUGAGAAAGCAUAGACAGGUACUUCUUUAAAAUAUAUAUAAAUGAAGGCAUAUAAAAAAGUAAUUUGAUAAACCAAUCUGACUUUUCCCUUGGCUGCAUAGCAUUAGCACUUGACGACACUCAUUAGUAAAAACUCUAUACAAAAAAGACAUUAGAGAAAUAGGCUCAUAGGCAAACUUAUUUAAAGCUAUUAUUUCAACCAACACAGUCAACCCCUGGGGGCUGUCAGGGACUGUGCCAGCAACCACAGAGCAUACACGAGCUGGACUGAGGCCUCCAGCACAUAUAUGGUAGAUGCGCCGCUCAGUCUCCAUGUAAGUACCCCAACAGCAGGAUCAGAGACUGUUCCUAAAGCUAUUGCCCAUUUGUAGAAGCUGUUCCCCAAAUGGGCUUCCUUGUCUGGCCUCAGUGGGAGAGGAUGUGCCAGACACUGCAGAAACCUGAUAUGGCCGCAUCGGGGGAUACCCAAAGGGAACCCUAACCUCUCAUAGGAGAAGGGAAGGAUGAUGAGGACAGGGAGUCUGUGAGGAGGAACCAGAUGAGGGGGACAGUAAAAUGAAUGAAUGGAUAGAUAGAUGAAAAGACAAUUCAAAUAUAUUUUUUCAUUAUUGAAAAAUACUAUUGUUUCUACAUGAAUUACAUUGUUUUACCUAAACUCAGUCCCAAACUCUGAUUCCUUGAGGCCUCUUCCAAGUAACCUAAGGUAUAUGAGCUUGUCCCACCUGACUGUCCCCUGAUAUACUACUGUGGGGACACAAUAAACAAGGUAUGAGUCAACAUCUUUGAACAGUGCUCUGGAGGUUCUGUAUCACUGGACUACAGUACUAUAUCAUGUCUGUGCUACCCUAGUGCUGUUGAUCCUCUGCUUUACGUCCCGCAUACUACAAUUACACAUAUGCCCUGGCUUGAACUUGUACUUUUAUGUUAUUUCCCCCUCAGUGGUAGCAAGUUUGAAGUAAUCUGCUGUCGUUCAAACUCCAGCUUUACCAUUUGCACACACAUCACUAUAUAUUCCUGGGCCCCAGUCUUGUUAUCUGUAAAAGGGGAAUACUAGGGGCUGGAAAGACGGUGCAGCCAUUAAAAGCACUUGCUCAUCUUGAAGACCUGUAUUCAAUUCCAAUUUGCAGUGCCCAUUAUGGUAGCUCACAAUGUCUGUAAAUCCAGUUCUAGGGGAUCUAAGACCCUCUUCUGACCUCUGCAGGCACCAGGCAUGCAUGUGAUACACAGACACACAUGCAGGCAAAAUACUCAUUCACAUAAAAUAAAAUUUUUAAAAAAAGAAGAAUUUUUGGAGGUGAAUACUAAUCUCACCAACCUCUUAGGGUUUUGUGAGAAUUUAGUGAAAGAACACUUUACCCAAAGAAUACAAAUCUGAUUGGGCUCAGAGCCUUCUACAAAGGGCACUGCCAGCAAGCAUCACCAUUACCCUCCUUCUUUUUACAUGUUCUGCUUAAAACAGACAAGCAAACAUGAACCGUCUCUCCUAUGAGCGAAGUUAUUACUUAUGGCUAAGGAGAGAGUGCAGUUUGAGUUAUCUGGUAAACAAUGUUAUAUACAUAACAGACACUAAUUAAAAAAUGUAGAGAGAAAGAGACCAUCUAAGGUCAAAUUUUAAGACAACUAUUCUUUAUUCUUUUACACAGCUUUCCAAGUUAAAAUAACCACCACCCAGCAUCAUUUUUUUUCUUCCACCUGAUUAGAUAGCAGGUCCUGAGGUCAGCAUUUGCAUGAGUUGAUGCACUUCAUCCUUCUGAGCACACAGGGAACCACCACUGGAGCUACUGUACAGACUCACACAGGCUCCUUACCAUCUCAAGCUAAUACAGCCAGUGAGUUACAGAACCAAAAUAAAGUAAGGCCAGGUCUUCUACAGUAAAGUCUGCACUCAGCCAGCCGUAACAUCGACAUGCAGUCCAGCUUAGCAAAUAGCUCAGCAAUUAAUAGAGAGGUGGGGGUUAAUAGUAAUUAGCAUCCCAGCAGUGUGACCAUUAUGUAAUCACACACUUUCCACCCAUUUAAACAUAACAGUAAUUUUACAAACCUCCAAUUAGUACAAGUGUUGCAAUAAAUAAUGAAAACCACAACCAACCUGAGGCUAUCUAGGAAAGUCCUUCCUAAAAAUGAUGAGCACACAAAGAAAGCUGGCCAGCAAUGGCCAGAGGAAGAUACAGAGGGAUUCUCAGCAGAACGACUAGACACAGAACAUUUUCGAGACUUGUAAUGUCACCCUUGAGAAGUGACCAGUCAGGCUCCAUGAAUUUGUGGGAUGUCACCCAUGAAAUCCCAGAAAGACAGGAAUUGUUUGAGCUAGGGAGACUUCUCUGUAUAGGGGUGGCCACAUGGAGAAAUGUUUAAGGAAUAGCCAUGCCUGAAGCAGGGGUAGAUAAAGCCUGUUUGAGUAGCUUAGAAUAAAGAAGGAUGGCUCGCUACUAGAAAAGACAGAGCUUAGAAAUGGGACAGAUUCCUGCCCCACUUCCAUAACAAAUGUGCCUCUCAUUCCUUCGGGCUGAGUGACAGACAUGUUCAGAAAGCAGAAGGAACUGGCUCUUGCUUCUCUUCCAGUCCUCAGUGGGCAACCUACCCUUGACUUUCCUACUCCAGAGCUACAGUAUUGCAUUCACUGUCUCAGGGUGACUCUCUCAAAAGUAAAGCCAAUAAAAACAUAUUUGACAGUACUUUGCAAGAAUCUGACCUUGAACAAACAUCAAAUCUCAGCUCUUGCAUUGCAGAACUAUACAUAAAUAGGGUCCAGUAGCUAGCAUGCAGCAGGCUGCUCAAAAAGCAUUAAUUAGGAGGGUAGGUUUUAAGUACAAGGAGUGAAAAGAAACUGAUUCCCCCCUCCCCUAAUCCCUGUUAGAGUUGACGAGGAUGGAGUUUUAUCUAGACCUAAAAAGCAAGCCAGGUCCCCAUUUCCUGGGGACGGUGUCUCAUUCUUCUGGAAAAUUCUCUAGGAAUCUUUACUUGAUAGGAGAAUGUAAAUAUAGAACUCCGUACUUAUUGCAAGAAAAUAAAAAACAGGCUUUUCUUUUUGGCUUAACUCAAAGUUAUCAAAAUCCCUUCCAAAGCUAUUUACUCUCUAUGGCUCAUUGCUUCAUGUUGGCUCUACAUCCUGCAGGUGACAAAUGGAGCAGAGGGUUGUAGAGUCCAAAGUGCCACUGGGGAGCUCUAGGAUGAGGUCUGAGAAAGGGGCUGUCUGCAAGUCAGUGUUAAGUCCCCUUUCCUAUAAGCAACUCCGGACUCAGGCAAUCUCACAAAAGUAGCACAGCAAAAGGUAGACCAGAUGUCUGGACUACUUCAGCCAUGGAAAGUCUGGUAGCAACCCCUGAAGUUUUUUUGUACAUUAAUACAACAGCACAUGAUGCAUAAAUCUUGCUGUUUGCUGUUCAUUGUGAUUAUGACAAGGACAAUGAGUAGAAAAAUAAGCUUAGUUUUCCAUUUAUUCAAGCAUUAUCAGCUAACUUAAACCUUCAGAGACGCCCCCCCUCAAAAAAAAGGCUUUUCUCUUUAAAUUAUUCCUCAGCCACAUUAAAACAAAUAGUACCAAAUAGUACCUGCAGCUCCCUACUGCUCAGUAUUGUACUCUUCUACUUGGUUUCAUUUUAAUAUCCUGAGAGAAACCACAGCCCCCAAGUCCAGAUGUUUUACAUGGGGCAGAACCUGACUGAAUCUUCAGGCCCAGCCAUGUGAACCAGACUCUAAAAUCUACUGCAUGGGAUUAAUAGCAAGUGAAAUCCAGCCAGUAGUAUUUGAUCUUACUAUUUAAAUAAUAAUAACAACAACAACAACAAGAAGAAGCAUUGGAAAGGAGGGCAUGCUACAUUGCUAAAGGAACUAGAUACAUAUCUAAAGCUGUAUGGACAACCCCACCAUCAUGGAAGUGAAGCAUAAGUAAAAUGGGCCAGGCAAAGGUAAGAGAAGCCACAACGUGAAGGGACACUGGAUUCCAGUAUCAUUUAAACCUAUUCAUCUAAACAUGCACAGGGGUCAUUCUUGAUCUUUCCACAGUGAACCAGGAACAUCUCAGUUCUUUUCAAAAUUUGUGACCCCUGACUUACAGCCAAGAGUAAUGGGACAAAAACAAAGCAACAACAAAGCCCACAGGAGAAAAAUGUUCCACUGCUAUCACGUAUCUGGAGCUAAUUUCUUGCCCCAUUUCUUUCUCUAUUGCCCUAAAUCAUAUUUUCUUUGACUUCUCACUUGGACUUUGAUAUGGGCCUUCCCUCAGGACUUACUGAUUCCAUUGUCUCUGUCACUAUUCUAACCUGAGGCACAUAUCACUCUUGUAAGAUGUUUCCCUAAGCCACAGUUUUGGUUGAAGAAAAGUCUUCAAGAUGUCACAGUAUCAGUGUUCAAAUCUCCAAGGGUUGUUGUGUGGAAGACAGAGAAUACUCACCUCCCCAAUGAAAUGAAGGUGAAGAGAAGGCAGUGUGCAAGCUGAUGGUACAGAGCUCUUCAUGUCUGCUAUGGCACUGGGGCUAACGUGGUGUCACUCCUAAUGGAGUGGGCUUGUCUUCAUUUAGAGGCAGUCCUUGGUAUUCCUGGGCCUGAUGCAUAUUAAUGCAUUUGGGAGAGUUAAUCGUGAUAUAGGUCUUGGGCAAAUUCCAGAACAGGGGGGAAUUAGUUUUGGUGAGGCAGUUAGGUGGUAGAUGUGGACUGUGGGCUGAAGAGACUUCACAGUAAUGCCUGGCUCUACCUUCGAGCUCUGUGCCCUCGGAUGAUCAUCUGACAUUUCUGCUUUCUCAUUGUGAAGUAGAGCUAAGUAACAACACUUUAUGAGAGCAUUGUGAGAAUCAAAACUAGCUCUCCUGCAGCCUGAAGGUGCUCUAAAUGUUAUUUUCCUUUGCCUACAUUUUCCACAAGGCUCCUGACUCCCUUAAGAGUCACAGACUACCCUAAUGGCUCCCUUCUUUGACCUCUAACCACAUGUACAGUCAGUUCUACAGAACUUAACACUUCCAAGUACAGACUUUCAUUCUUCAUUGUUUCCAUUCUCCUUUGAGGAGAUCCUUCUACUGUCUGUAUGAGAAGUCAAGUAGGAGGAAAUGCACCAAAUACAGUGCCAAGCAUAGACCAGUGUCCAAGAAAUUAUUUAUAAUUAGAGGAAAGGGGGGUGGAUUAAGACACAAGAUGACAUUCCUCCCUUGGGGUCCUUCUCUUAGGCUCAGAAGCAAGACUUGAGGAGCUGGGCGAGCAGGUUUUCUAUAUGUCAAAGCCUUUCCUUUUUAAGUGCAGUUGGCACUUGGGCUUCUCAGAGUGAGACAUCACCAUUUAAGGUGAUAUAAUUUCCAAAGGAGAGGUGGGACAGUGCCCCCUAGGGCACACAGAUAGCAAGUGACUACCAGGGCCUAGGGAUAAGCUAGGUCUUUCUUUCCACUUGUUUCUAAUUCUCGUGAUUUAAGCAUGAGGAUAAAGUCUGUGGUUAUUUACCCUGAAUGCUAUAUGUACACCUCUCCCCACACCACCUAACCCCCGGGCUUUGAUUUGUGUGCUGCAUAAACACUGUUGCCAUAGUUAUAAUUCAGGAAGCUUUGUUGUUUGACCUCAGGAAAAACUUGAUCUCAAAUCAGGAUAACACCACAGCAGACCAUCAGGAGGUAGGCACUGCCAAAUUCCUUCAAGCUUCUAGAAGGAACUACUGUAUUUCGGGCAACAGCAGAGGAAACAGUGUGCUGCAGUGUUAUGCAAUUUCCUUGCACUUCAUAUUCAGAAAUCCUAAAAACCCCUGAACAAGCAACUUCCCUAGCUUUCAACGGAAGAUCGGCAUCUUAGCCAAUAUAAAUAAAAACUGGUUGCAAAGGAAGAAAAAAGAAAUCUGUGUUCAAGUCAAGAAAGGAUUUCAGUGACAAUGUAAAGGCAGCAGAAAAAGCACAAGCUGAGCCCUUCCUUGCCUCCAUGUGACCUCCAUGUGGCAUGGAAAGGAGUGGAAUCACCCCAGGACACCCACACAUCUGGGACGAAGCCCCGCCCUGGAGACAGGCCCAGUCCCCGGCCACCCAGCCCCAUGCAUUCUUUUUUUGGCAACUAUACUCUGUCCUCCUCCAUAAACCAACCUCCUCCAAUGAAUGCCUGCUCAGAAUGUACAGUCAGUGUGGCCAGUAAUGGACUCCAUUAGAUCCCAACAACUUACUAUGGGAAUUCUAACACACAGGAAAGGCUAGACAGGUGAGAACACACCCACACCCUACACUUGUGGUUGUGCAAAUUCUGCUUCAUCUGCUUCGACCCACGGUCAUCACAGAGCUGUAGAUCCCUUGAUGAGCACUGAGCCAGCAGCAUACUAAUUGCCAAGCAAAGCUCAUCCAAGGUGUACUUGCGUAUGAUGUCAGAAGCCUCAAAACAGCCUUCUUCCACUCCAGGACCAUAAGAGCACUUGAACAGUAUGCAUAAGAGGCCAACUUAAAUGAAAACAUCACCAGGAGAAAGCAUGGACAUUUUUUAAGUGCCACUAAAUGGACCAGAAAAAGGACAAUUAUCUCCAGGUGGAGAGCUGAGAGCAGAAAAUAAAGUAUCAUCUUAUACAAGAUGGGGACAUGCCCAUUGGAGAAAUCACAUCUCAUCAGCCUACACAUGCCUACCCAAAAGAUAGCACAAGAACUGGCUUCACAGUCAUGAACAAUGGGAACAACUGUGCAUGUGUGGCUAUAACUACGAAGUAGACUGUGGCAUUAUAUAGGUUCAUAAAUAUACCAUGUAAACAUAUAUUCAUAAAGGCUUUGAGAAGACAGCUACAUUCAUACUCUCAAACACUAUCUUGUGUCUGUUUUUGUGAGAUUGCAAAAGGAGCCAAGUAGUUCCAACAGGAUAACAUGUAUACUCCACUUCACUAUUUUCUAGAUGGUUGUACCAAUUUCUGCUCCAAACAGAGAAGUAUUGUGAGAGUUACAUUGACCACUCCUUAGAAAUUCCCAAAGCUUCCUCCUCAGACCUCUUAUCUCUCCCUCCUAGAGAGAUCUAGACAUUUCACAGAUUCUCGCAGCUCCCACCAUGGGUGAUUGUACACAGAUGCUGUCUCCCUUCCAGACCUGUGAUUCCAAACCCCCCUGCUCACUUCAGCAAACUGGAAAUUGCCCUCAAUCGCAAACCCUACUUCUAAGAGUAGCACAUUGCAGCUCAUAUGUCAAACCCCUCAUUACCCUACCCGUGACACACAGAUAGUGUCAUCUAAGUAAAGGAAUUAGAGAGUGGCAGCAGAGUAACAGGCUGUACCUGGCACUUAGAUGCUACAGAAAGAAGCUCAUUCACCAUCACCGACCCCAUCUAUGGCACUGCUUUUCCCCAGUGACCUGAACCUGAAAUUUCCAAGUCCUGCAUCUUUAUUUCCACCUCAAAUUGGAUGACCAUAACUGGACUUUGCCUUUGACCUAAUGGUCAAAGGCACUUAGUCUGAAAUCCCAGGUUUCCCACACAGAAGAGAAGCAUCAUGGGCUUGACAUCCCACAAUUAUCAUUUCCUUCCUGCCCCUCCUGGUCUUGACACUCCUCAUGUGAUUACAACUCUGAAAUCACUUUUGUUCAAAACCUUUCCUGGUCUUAUACCUCAGAGUAUAAUAUCCAGACUUUUCUGUGAGGCCUCUGACAAGUUGACCUCACUUUCUCUGAUGUGGCUUCUCAAUUUCACCUAAUAAACAGCACUGUGCA